rnacentral:rRNA from 1 species
UACGUAGGGUGCGAGCGUUGUCCGGAAUUAUUGGGCGUAAAGAGCUCGUAGGCGGCCUGUUGCGUCGGUUGUGAAAGCCCCGGGGGCUUAACCCCGGGUCUGCAGUCGAUACGGGCAGGCUAGAGUUCGGUAGGGGAGAUCGGAAUUCCUGGUGUAGCGGUGAAAUGCGCAGAUAUCAGGAGGAACACCGGUGGCGAAGGCGGAUCUCUGGGCCGAUACUGACGCUGAGGAGCGAAAGCGUGGGGAGCGAACAGG